rnacentral:rRNA from 1 species
GACGAACGCUGGCGGCGUGCUUAACACAUGCAAGUCGAACGGAAAGGCCCCUUUGGGGGUCCUCGAGUGGCGAACGGGUGAGUAACACGUGAGUAACCUGCCCUUGACUUCGGGAUAACUUCAGGAAACUGGGGCUAAUACCGGAUAGGAAUCCUUGCUGCAUGGUGGGGGUUGGAAAGCUUCGGCGGCUUUGGAUGGACUCGCGGCUUAUCAGCUUGUUGGUGGGGUAGUGGCUUACCAAGGCUUUGACGGGUAGCCGGCCUGUGAGGGCGACCGGCCACAUUGGGACUGAGAGACGGCCCAGACGCCUACGGGAGGCAGCAGUGGGGAAUAUUGCACAAUGGGCGGAAGCCUGAUGCAGCAACGCCGCGUGCGGGAUGACGGCCUUCGGGUUGUAAACCGCUUUCAGCAGGGGCGAAGCUUGUGGUGACGGUACCUGCAGAAGAAGCACCGGCUAACUACGUG